rnacentral:tRNA from 2 species
CGCGGGGUGGAGCAGUACGGCAGCUCGUCGGGCUCAUAACCCGAAGGUCAUAGGUUCAAAUCCUAUCCCCGCAACCA